UUCAGAAUCACAAUAAUAAAGUAUUCAAAUUUGAGAGAUAUACCUGCGGAAGACAUAUUGAAUACGUUCUUCAAUCACCUGGAAUAAUAGCGGCUGGAUCUUCCCUUCCUUGCUCUUCACAAAAGAUAGCCGUCAAUGGGGCAAGCUAUUAACCAUAUGGAGAGGAGAGGGGACCUAGCCUUUAUAUAGAAAAUAUAAGAGAGCCUUCCCAUUAAAGGCUCCAAAACCCUAAUUGGGUUUCGUGGCCUACAUACUAAAAUUACCACAUUAAAUAUGACUCAAUCCUAUACAUCCAAGGUGCACCAAAGCCCAUAAAACAAAAUGAUCACACAUCAUAUUGUGCUUAACCAUAGUACCAUUCUGAGCCAUACGUCUAACCCGUUUUAUAAAACAAAAAUACACAAUCAGGGUAAGCCCAUAUUUUGAAAUUAUUCUAACAUUCUCCUACUUGGGCGAACACGGAUUGUCAUAUUAAUUUAAAAACUUUGUUUUGAAAACGACUCUCGGGUUAGACUACAAAAGUGGCCACAUAUAUAGCUCAAACGAUAAUCACCUUGGA
rnacentral:lncRNA from 1 species